NAUCCCGUGAACCAUCGAGUCUUUGAACGCAAGUUGCGCCCGAAGCCUUCGGGCCGAGGGCACGCCUGCCUGGGCGUCACGCAUCGCGUCGCCCCCUCCCCCCCUCCCCGGAGCGGGGGGCGGAGACUGGCCUCCCGUGCGCUACCGUCGCGCGGCCGGCCU
rnacentral:rRNA from 1 species